GUGGUUAUGGCUCAGUGGUAGAGUGCUUGCCUAGCAUGCAUGAGGCACUGGGUUCGAUCCCCAGGACCACA
rnacentral:tRNA from 2 species